CUCCAUCCAUGUGCACGCAAAAGUGUGAUAAAACAAAAGGCCUUGUGCAAAGACCUUGAUGCACUCUCCCAUGUUCAUGCAUACACACACAUGCAUGCACCCCAUCCCUUUGCACACCCACGAGCACGACGACACGAGCGCUGCUCUGGCCUUGCACACUGCCAUGUGCAUGCGCACACAUACAAAACUUUCACCUGCAAGCACCGUGCACACAGCCACGUGCAAUGCACGCUCUGAUGUUCAGCACCAUCUCUGCACACCCCCGUAUGCACGCAUACCUGCACUCACAGCUCGAGGACAAAAUGCUGCUGGCACGGCACAGCCAACACGCAGGCGGUGGGCAAUGUCAGGAGGAAAGGCCCUCCUUUACGCUCAUUCAUUCUCCUCUCUCAAAUGAAUGCAUCGGGGCUCAGCUGGAGCCCCAUCCUGAGAUGUGGAUUGCUGUGGGGUUCCUCGUUGGUGGGCUAUGGGGAUCCUGGGAAGGUGAUGGGGGUCCUGUCAGGGACUGUUGGAGACUGAGAACCCAGGGGAGGCCUGAGAAAGGAAAUAGGGGGGUUCAGCAGGAGCCCAGAGGGGGACGUGGGGUGCUGUUGGGGACUGUGGAGCUUUGCAUGGUCCCAGACUGGCGGUGGGAAAAGCUUCGGAAAUCGGAAUAGGGGAGUAAUGGGCACGGGAGGAGUGAGAGGAGGGAACAGCUGAGCACAGAAGUGCAGGAGAAGGAUAAAGAGAAAUAAUGGUGCAGAGAAAAGAGAGAGAAGAGUGUGGGGGAAAAGAUCAGGUAGAGGAGAGGAAGACAGCAGAGGGGAGAAAUUAGAAAAGGAGAAAUUAGAAAAGACAGAAGAGAGAAGGGAGGGAAGGGGCAUCAGGGAAGGGAUCCCAAGGGUAGAAAGGAAGAGAAAUGAAGAAGAUGGGAGUUCAACAGAAGAAAUAAAGAUGUAAGAAGUGGGCAGGCGUGUGCAGAGAGCAGGAGAGCAGAGAGAGAAGGGGAGAGCAAAUGCAGUCAUUGAGAGAAGAAGAAAAAGGAACGCCCAUCAUUUUUCGCAGUAAUGAUAAAUGGAACCGCCGUUGGGGCCCUUCUAUUGGGGCGUUCUUCGGCAUCGAUGCUCGGACUUUUUGUCCUCCCCGGGGUAAUAGAUGCGGACUUUCAGGGCGAGAUCCAGAUGAUGGCAUACACCCCGUUUCCUCCAAUAAAAAUGGAGAAAGGGCAACGGAUAGCACAGCUACUACCCCUAGAGCAAUUGACCAAAGCCUUAACCCCGUGUCUAUCGUCUCCCCGAGGGGAGCAAAGGUUUGGCUCCUCAGAGGGCUUAGCGUUGCUAUCACUAAAUUUGCAUGAUCGACCUAAAAAACCAGUGACACUUAAACACAGAGAGGAAGAAAUCAGACUUCAAGGUCUGUUAGAUACAGGGGCCGACAGCAGCAUAG
ensembl:lncRNA